rnacentral:misc_RNA from 1 species
UAAAAAACUUCUCCAAAACAAAGGUUAAGGGGCAUAUAAUUGCUAGCAAACCAAAUCAAACUAGCUUAAGCCAUUUUAGUGAUGGAGAAUGGAGAUCCUAGUUUCACGCCAAAUUCAGCAUGGAGACCUGCUUGCAUAGUAUUUUGGUGGACAUCUUUCGUCCUUAUGUAUGCUUCUAGGUGUAUAUGGUUGGUACCCCUUUUGUAUCAAAAUUUAUGUGCAUUACUCUUUUCUUUAGGGUAAAAAAAUAAAGGAAAAAGAAGAAAUCCUAAAUUUUCGAGAGUAGAAUAUGAUAUAGAAUUAAUAUACAGCAUUAUGGUAUUUAUGUUACUUGUGUUUUUUGUAUGUGGUUGGAUGCCUCUUUUUG